AAGAUAAUUUCGACCAGGAUGUGUUUGGAACAGAUUUUCUUCAGCGUCGUCUGCAUCCUCUGCUUCACUGCCCUGAUAUGAGUCCGUCUCCAACCGUCCCGACCUCGGUUGAAUAUGUCAAAGCCGCGGACGUCAAAGUCAUCGCUGCACUGGGAGACUCUUUAACU